UACAGAGGGUGCAAGCGUUAAUCGGAAUUACUGGGCGUAAAGCGUGCGUAGACGGUUAUUUAAGUCAGGUGUGAAAGCCCCGGGCUCAACCUGGGAAUUGCAUUUGAGACUGAAUAGCUAGGGUGCGGAAGAGGGAAGCGGAAUUUCCGGUGUAGCGGUGAAAUGCGUAGAUAUCUGGAAGAACACCGGUGGCGCAAGCGGAUUGCUGGGCCAUAACUGACACUGAGGAACGAAAGCUAGGGGAGCGAAUGGG
rnacentral:rRNA from 1 species